rnacentral:snRNA from 1 species
UUGAACUCAGGGUGUCACAUUUGCCAAAACUGGAAUGAUUUAGACAAGAUUAGCAUGGCCCCUGCACCAGGAUGGCAUGCAAAUUUGUGAAACAUUCCAAUUUUUU